UACGGAGGAUGCAAGCGUUAUCUGGAUUCAUUGGGUUUAAAGGGUGCGCAGGUGGGAAUGUAAGUCAGUGGUGAAAUACUGCCGCUUAACGGUAGAGUUGCCAUUGAUACUGCGUUUCUUGAGUAUGGUUGAGGUAGGUGGAAUGUGUUGUGUAGUGGUGAAAUGUAUAGAUAUGACACAGAACGUCGAUUGCGAAGGCAACUUACUAAGCCAUUACUGACACUGAGGCACGAAAGCGUGGGGAUCGAACAGG
rnacentral:rRNA from 1 species